rnacentral:lncRNA from 1 species
UGCGCCAUUCUUCAAAUUGGCACCAUAUAUCUUGGCCAUUGGAUGGGCUUUCUUUCAGAUCCAAAGGCAUGGGUUGAUGGCGCCAAUAAGAGAAGCUUCGUGACUUCUCAUCUGAACAUCGUAAGUUAAGAUCGAAGAGUCUUUCUGAAAUAAGGCGUCUCUUCAACCCAAUUUUGAUGUACACAUGGCAUUUCUUAACUUAUGGGG